rnacentral:lncRNA from 1 species
AAAGCUGCCUUUGGCGGAACCCUGCUCUGGAAGAGUCUCAGACAUUCAUAAGGCAAGGCUAACCAGCUUGGCUUCUAAUAUGGAAGAGGUCAAACAGGAAGGGAGCUGGGUCACAUAACAAUACAUGGAUGACCAGAAUCCAGGACAGGCUGUCUCUGCCUCAAGAUCUGCUUUCUGGAUGUGUGGGAUCCUCCUAUGAGGAGCAUAUCUACCCAUAUAAACUGUCAAAACAGCUUGUUUUCUCAGAUGGAGUCUCCAUCACAGAAUAAGGACCUAUAUGCAGCACUAGCUCUCAGCUGUAAAAUCAGCCUUUUCCAGGAAUCUACGUGAGCUGCUCCUGUUAAAAUUCAUACAGCACCGCUAACUCAUUUGCUUCACACACCUGCCAUCCACAGACCUGCAAACAGUGAUUCUGGAUCCACCACUCUGACAUCAAAGCCGGCAACGCGUGAGGAACGGGCACCUUCUUCUCGGUGGUCUCACAAUGGGAGGGGCAGAAAGGCCACACAGCUGUUAGCAAAGUGCAAGAACUGAUAGGGCUGGCAAGAUGGCUCAGUGGGUUGGGGCGCUUGCUGUCAGACCUGAUGCCUUUAAGACUUCCACACAGGUGGAAGGAAAAACUGACUCUAGCAAGUGGUCUUCUGCCUUAUGCAAGCACGAGCGCACACACACACAGCCAUGAAAUGUUUUCAUACAAAAUAUGCUUGCUGAGAUACAUGGGUGAGGUCUAAUAUACAGUGUCCUAUUAGCAGUCGCCUCUCCGGCAAAACAAAAGAAAAUAAACAACAGAAGUCCCCACACCUCAGCAAUCCCUCCACCCUGCCAGCACGCUCUGCCAGCUUACGCCACAAAGGCAGAGGUAUCUCUACUGACAUCAUCCUCACUCAAGACAGGCUUUGAAGGGGAGAACCUAAUUCCCCCUGUGCUUAUAUAAUAAAUUAAGUCGCCCCAGAAACAUUUAAUAAAGGUCCUAUCAUUUAGCGCUACUGGUGUCCCGGCACCCUGCAGGAAGAUGACUAUAAUACGCCGAGAUAGCAUUUUGCCCAUUUGGUGAGACUGGCAAUAGAGCCCUACAGAGGAAAAAAAAAAAAAAAAAAAACACACUACAAGGGGGAAAAAAAAAAACUUCAAACUAUUUUAUAAUAUAGACAAUCAUUUCUAUUACGAUAUUGCAAAGAUUGCCUGAAAGCAUCUAAAAAUAUCUGAGAUUAAGCAAAACACACACAAUUUGCUGGCCCUAGAAGGUCAAAGUCUCAGGACUUGGGCACCUAACCCUACAACUGCCUUUCAGCAGAAAAACAACAACAACCACCACACACCCAACUUUCCUCACACAAAGUUCAGAACUACAAUGUGUGCAAAGAAGAAACUACAUCGCCAACAUUUUGCAAAAUAGACAGAAAAAUCCUAGGCUCAGGAUCCCAGAUUCCCCUUUGCACUGUUACAAGAUGUGUUUGCCCUGUGGGAAACAGACCUCCUAGGGGGAGGGGCAGGCAAACACUGUGCGAGGAUGCCUUAGUGGGAACUGUGACUAGGUUCUAAGUAAAUGUAUUUAAAUGUAAGGAGACCUAGCAGCAUUCAGCACCCAUUCAGAGAGAUUACUCUUGCAAAAAUCUUCUGUGGUUGCUCUGCAGAGGAAAGAGUGUCUAUCACGAAGUACGAUGAAAGCCCAGAGCUGUCCACUGACAUGUGUCUGGUUUCUGUAUGCAUUUGAGGAUGUACCCAGGGUGUAGGGUCAAUCUAUAGAUGCACAGGCGUUUACAGAUGGAAUCUUGGUUCCUAAGUGAGACCCAUACAGUGUGCGACAGUUAUCUUCUGGCCAGCAACCGUGGGUCAGAUACACAUGCAUGCAUGCAUGCAUGCAUGCAUGCAUGAAUUUCCCAUCCAGCAUUGACUGCUCUGGGCAAGGAGUAUGUUCUGGGCUCUAAAGAAGCAGACCGAAUUGUCUCCUGAGACUCGGGAACCUGACUUUUCUCCCACUCUCACACUAAUUAUUUAGUUUGUCCUCAAAUAAGACCAUUGGGAAAAUGGGGUUCCUGGAUUCAAUCAGAAGCCUGGCAUUUGAGUGAGAAAUGCUCAUUUCAACGGUCUCUGCACAAGUACCCCCCCCAGUACCCUCCCACCCUCUAGACACAAAUCAGCGGGACCAAAAUGGAAGCCAAGACAGUUCUCUCUCCUCCAAUUUCCCAGUGGCCUUCAUGUUGCUCAGAGGGAAACUCCCAAGUGUUCACAUCUCCCUACUUGAGCUGUCUAUCAGCUCUUUGGCCCCUCCCUUCUUCCUUCCUCCUCUCUUCCUGUGAGAGUACCUCCACGCACAUGAAUCCUAGGAUGUUGGCUUGCCUGCACUUGCUUUUUCCUCUGCCUGGGGCGCAUCUUUCCAGCACCCAGCUGACUUAUGUCCUCACACAAAUCUCCUCAGUGAACACAACCCAGACUCUUGCUCUCGUUACCCUCUUUUCCCGUCAUUCUCCAUUGCCCGCUUGUUAAACAUAUGCUUAAUGUUCUGUCUGUCUGCCUGUCUGUCUAGCUAUUCUCUAAUCUUGACACCAGGACAAAAACACCAUGAGAGCAGCAGGAUCUUUUCUAUGCCCAGUUUUACUGAUGCAUUCCCACAAUCUAGAACAUGGUUCGGUAUGUGCAAUAAACAUCCAGGAAACAGUGGCUGCAUCGGUGGUAUUGAAGCAAGAGCUGUAGAGAUGUUCUCACACUAAUUACUGAUAUCCCCUUUGGGUGAAGAGAUUUUUUUCCUUAGCUGGACAAACAUCUUCUCUAAGAAAAUAUAUAUCUUAUUAUAUGUGAAAAGAGAGGAAGGGGGGGCAGACAAAAGGAGGAAAUAAAAGAAAAAUAUUAGCAAAUCACAAAAGAAUGUUAACGUAAAUAGCCAAACAGCUUUGUAACACUAAGCUCUUUAUUUACAGAAUCAUUUCCUCUCUAGCCCACCAUGUCAUAAAUAUUUAGUCUUUUUCCCAUCUGUCCCUUCCCAAUUAACCUGGCUUAAUUCCUAAAUCACAAUGUUCCCUCUCAGUAAGGCAUUCAUGUGUUACCGAGAGAAAGCCCAUUGUCUGGCUAACGCGCUGGACUACUUACUCAGGAAACAGCCUGCAGCUCCUUUCUUGGCAGCUUCUAGCACCCCGAGAACUGGGUGUCAACACUCAAUACUCAAACUCUCCACCUGUCUCUCUUCCUGUAUAAAUAGAAACAAUCUGACUGAUCUGGAACUGGACAGACUCAGAAGAAAGAUGGCUCUCCAUCAAUCCAUGGGGUUCCAGUAGCUAGACUUCACUUCGGAUGGUUAUUUUUAUCUUUUUGGAUUUUGGAUUUUUUUUUUUUUACUUUGAGCCUCCUGUAGCGUCUACUUAGUGUCCUUCAUCUGUCACCUACCCUUUAUAAAAAUGUCCUCUCUUGGAAAUUUCUGCUUUCUGAGACAUAAUUAAAACUGGCCUUAACAUGCC